rnacentral:rRNA from 1 species
GAGACCUCAGGUCAGGCGGGGCUACCCGCUGAAUUUAAGCAUAUUCAAU